rnacentral:sRNA from 1 species
CUUGGUCAUUUAGAGGAAGUAAAAGUCGUAACAAGGUUUCCGUAGGUGAACCUGCGGAAGGAUCAUUAAAGAAUGCCCCGUUUUUUGAAAUGGGUUCUGUUCCCAAACCGUGUAUACAUACUUUUGUUGCUUUGGCAGGCCGCCUUCGGGCGUCGGCUCACGCUGACAGCGCCUGCCAGAGGACCCAAACUCGUUUGUUUAGUGAUGUCUGAGUACUAUAUAAUAGUUAAAACUUUCAACAACGGAUCUCUUGGUUCUGGCAUCGAUGAAGAACGCAGCGAAAUGCGAUAAGUAAUGUGAAUUGCAGAAUUCAGUGAAUCAUCGAAUCUUUGAACGCACAUUGCGCCCCUUGGUAUUCCGAGGGGCAUGCCUGUUCGAGCGUCAUUAUGACCACUCAAGCCUAGCUUGGUAUUGGGGUUCGCGGUCCCGCGGCCCUUAAAAUCAGUGGCGGUGCCAUCUGGCUCUAAGCGUAGUAAUUUAUCUCGCUAUUGGGUCCGGUGGUUGCUUGCCAACAACCCCUAACUUUUAAGGUUGACCUCGGAUCAGGUAGGGAUACCCGCUGAACUUAAGCAUAUCAAUAAGCGGAGGA